AGAGUUUGAUCAUGGCUCAGAUUGAACGCUGGCGGUAUGCUUAACACAUGCAAGUCGAACGGUAACAGGCCUUCGGGCGCUGACGAGUGGCGGACGGGUGAGUAACGCGUAGGAAUCUGCCUUAUAGUGGGGGACAACGUGGGGAAACCCACGCUAAUACCGCAUACGCCCUACGGGGGAAAGCGGGGGCUCGUAAGACCUCGCGCUAUGAGAUGAGCCUGCGUUAGAUUAGCUAGUUGGUAGGGUAAAGGCCUACCAAGGCGACGAUCUAUAGCUGGUCUGAGAGGACGAUCAGCCACACUGGGACUGAGACACGGCCCAGACUCCUACGGGAGGCAGCAGUGGGGAAUAUUGGACAAUGGGCGCAAGCCUGAUCCAGCAAUACCGCGUGUGUGAAGAAGGCCCUAGGGUUGUAAAGCACUUUCAAAGGGGAGGAAAACCUGCCGGUCAAUACCCGGUAGCUUGACAUUACCUUUAGAAGAAGCACCGGCUAACUCCGUGCCAGCAGCCGCGGUAAUACGGAGGGUGCGAGCGUUAAUCGGAAUUACUGGGCGUAAAGCGUGCGUAGGCGGUUCGUUAAGUCAGAUGUGAAAGCCCCGGGCUCAACCUGGGAACGGCAUUUGAAACUGGCGAACUUGAGUUGAGUAGAGGGGAGUGGAAUUUCAGGUGUAGCGGUGAAAUGCGUAGAUAUCUGAAGGAACACCAGUGGCGAAGGCGACUCCCUGGACUCAAACUGACGCUG
rnacentral:rRNA from 1 species